GCCAGGCAUGGUGGCGCGUGCCUGUAAUCCCAGCUACUUGGGAGGCUGAGGCAGGAGAAUCAUUUGAACCCAGGAAGCGGACGUUGCAGUGGGCCGAGAUCACACCAUUGCACUCCCGCCUGGGUGACACAGCGAGACUCUGUCUCAA
ensembl:misc_RNA Metazoa_SRP Metazoan signal recognition particle RNA